rnacentral:rRNA from 1 species
UACAGAGGUUGCGAGCGUUAAUCGGAAUUACUGGGCGUAAAGGGCGCGUAGGCGGUGAUGUAAGUGGGAUGUGAAAUACCCGGGCUUAACCUGGGGGUGUCAUCUUAGACUGCAUGACUAGAGUGAAGGAGAGGGUAGUGGAAUUUCCGGCGUAGCGGUGAAAUGCGUAGAUUUCGGAAAGAACACCGGUGGCGAAGGCGGCUAUCUGGCCUUUAACUGACGCUGAGGCGCGAAAGCGUGGGGAGCGAACAGG